rnacentral:rRNA from 1 species
AUUAAACUGAAGAGUUUGAUCCUGGCUCAGAUUGAACGCUGGUGGCAUGCUUAACACAUGCAAGUCGAACGGUAACAGGUCUUAGGAUGCUGACGAGUGGCGGACGGGUGAGUAACGCGUAGGAAUCUGCCCAUUUGAGGGGGAUACCAGUUGGAAACGACUGUUAAUACCGCAUAAUAUCUGUGGAUUAAAGGUGGCUUUCGGGCUGUCGCAGAUGGAUGAGCCUGCGUUGGAUUAGCUAGUUGGUGGGGUAAGGGCCCACCAAGGCUACGAUCCAUAGCUGAUUUGAGAG